rnacentral:rRNA from 1 species
UACGUAGGGUGCAAGCGUUGUCCGGAAUUAUUGGGCGUAAAGAGCUCGUAGGCGGUUUGUCGCGUCUGCUGUGAAAACCCGAGGCUCAACCUCGGGCCUGCAGUGGGUACGGGCAGACUAGAGUGCGGUAGGGGAGAUUGGAAUUCCUAGUGUAGCGGUGGAAUGCGCAGAUAUCAGGAGGAACACCGGUGGCGAAGGCGGGUCUCUGGGCCGAUACUGACGCUGAGGAGCGAAAGCGUGGGGAGCGAACAGG